rnacentral:lncRNA from 1 species
AAUGGGCAAAUGUUACACAAUCCAGGCGUGGAAAGCUCUUCGAGAUUUAUCCAGAAAGACUCACAGCUGUAAUUGCUGCCAACGGUGCUUCUACAAAGUAUUGAUUCAGGCUGUGAUUGCUACUAAGAGCAAUGGCAUGGUUUUUUUAUUUCUCCAUGGUGCUGACUGUACUGCUUCACUGCUCACCUGGUAACAUUGUCAGGACUACCUCUACCGCACCCUCAUCCAGCAACUCUGACUAUGUCCCAUUCCUGGCAUUCUCCAACCCCCUCAGCACCAGCUCCAACAUGGGCACAACAGCCCCUAAGCUCACCACAAUACAACAGCCAGGGACAGACAUCCUUCUGCCCACCGGCAGGAAACAAGAUGACCAGUAUGGAGGACUUAGCUAGGGCAUUGAUUGGCACAUCAUAUGGCAGUGAUGAGUCUAUGGAUGGCAGUGGACCUGGAGACGUGGUUAUAAUAGAAGAGGCCACUACCGAAGAAGGGCUCAGAGCACUGGAGGAGAAUGAGGAAGACAUUUUUGUGAUUGACUCAAUGGUUCCUUUAUGAAGCAACAUACGGGCAAAACAGUCCCACUCCUCCUCCUUGUCAUCUGCCAUUGUGACAGAACAGUUUCAAACAG